GGAGUGGAUAGGACGAAAUGCUGUUGAGGGACUGACAUUGAGAAACAUUUCUGGAUGGCAUGAAGGUUGAUGUGGCUGGCCUCCAAAAUCAUCGUGCCUGAGACCACACAGAUGGGGAUGAGAUAAAACUUCUGGGCGGGGCUAGUGAGCCACCUGUGGCAGUGACAUCAGCACGGCAGAGAUCAGGGGCCCUGUGGUCUCCAUCCCCCACAUCCACCUCGUGUCCUUUUAUCUGUGAUCAUGUAUCACCUGCAGCUACACGUCCAGCUGGAGGAGACAGAUUUCAUCUGUCAUCUGUGAGUGGAUCUCAAUACCCAGAACUAAGUCUGUCCAGAAGUCCAUGUCCAGCGGCCGGCCUGCCAGAGCUAAUCUCACAGAUGAAGCGUCUCCUUUUCUGCUCAGUCAUGUACCUGUGCGGGAGGGGGAAAGAGACGAGGAGGCCUCACGAUCAAAUUAAUCUCCUAUUAGAACAUGCAUCUGGGGUUAAAGGUAUAGGUCACCCAAAAAUAAAAAUUCUGGGAUUAUUUUACUCACCCUCAAGUCAUUUUAAACCCGUAUGACUGACUUUCUUAGGCAGAGAAGACUCUCUCUUUGCAAUUGCAGUUAAUGGUUAAUCAAGUGUUCAAGAUUCCAAAGAACACAAAAGCAACAUAAAAUAUAGGUUAUUGAUAAACGUUAAAGGAGUAUUUCACCUCAAAAUGUAAAUGUACUCACCCUCGGGUCAUUCUAUAUGUAGAAGAGUUUUUUUAAUUGGAAAAGAUUUGUAGAAAUUUUGCAUUACAUCACUUGCUCACCAAUGGAUCCUCUGCAGUGAAUGGGUGCCGUCAGAAUGAAAGUCCAAAAAGCUGAUAAAAACAUCACAAUAAUCCACAACUAAGCUGUGUUCGUAAGAAUCAUUUGAACUUUAACCUGUCUAUGCUUUCUCCAGUGAAAGACUCCAUUCCCUGUUGUUCUCUCACAUCAAAAUCCAGCGAUAUAUUUGUGUUGCGCAGAGAAGAAAGACAUGGAGAAGAAACCACAACCAAACUUCAUCAGUUCUCGCAUAUAUCGCCAACAUGCCAGCUCAAGACAGCAAAACACAAACCGAAGACGAGCUUCAAAAUGGAGGGACUGAAAAGAGGAAAGGAUGAGUGCAGAGAAAACAAAGAAACGGAGGAAGAAGGGAAGAAAAAGGCAGAGAGAAGAAGGUGUGGAGCAGAAGUGUGGAAGUGUGUUGCUGGGCAAAGGGCUGGCGCUGAACGCGGGGUUGGCAGGCGGGGUGGAGAAGCGGGCACGCUCACAGACAUCUGUUGGCACGCUGCGGAUGCUGGAGGGGGCACGGUGCCAUGACCAGCGGGAACAUGGCACACUGAUAAUGCUGUAGCUAUACUCAGAUACACACUGCGUCUCUAUAGAACGCCACACACACCAGCACUAAUGAUAAAAUAAUCUCACACUAUCGACACGAGCGACGCAGGACACACAGGUUGUGGAUCAAAAUAUCGUAAUUGGCAGCUUGCAGUUUUUAGUUUGGGCAAAAUACUUUUUUAUGAGAAUCUAAGAAAAAUUAUCCUGCAGAAUAAAAAGUGAAUUUAAACUCA
ensembl:lncRNA